rnacentral:rRNA from 2 species
GAUAGGCCGGGUGUGUAAGCGCAGCGAUGCGUUGAGCUAACCGGUACUAAUGAACCGUGAGGCUUAACCUUACAACGCCGAAGC